CCAGUCCACUGUGAGAAAACUCAGCACCCAGCCUUGGCCAGACUAUAAGAGGACACAGAGGUGUACCAUGCUUCACCUGGACUAUGGUCCUACCAUGAACUAGGUCAGGCACAGUACCUGAUGUUGGCGUGUGGUAAACAGAAUGGGCCAAAUGUCUCCUCAAUCUGAGGAUUUCACCCAGGCUCAUGUCUCCUGAAUACAGAGGCAUAAAUCCAACCUCUGCUGGGUCAGCCCAGAAACCAGCCUGGCUGCCAGACCACUAGACAACUGUUCUUCCUGACUAUGUAGGCCCACCAUGUUGUCAAAUGUGCCAGAAUAUCUGCCAGGAGUGUCAGCCUGACCUGACCCGCUUCUGAACCCAGGGACCAGAGAUUUCCUUCCCAGGAUGGCUUGAGGCUUGGACUUCAAACCAGCUUGGCAGAGCCUCCUACCAAGGGCUAGAAGUUAGCACAGCAGAAAACCAAUUCUGGAAACUUCUAAAUCCAGGCAAGAAGAAUGUAUGUCCAGAGGUUCAAAUACAUCAGAAUACCAUAGAAUACCCAGGAUCUGUGACAGAACACAGAAGUUUGAAGACUACAUCAGACAACAUUGUUUGACUGGCCAACAUCAAACUGAGUUCUGGGCUCUAUGCCAUGCUCAGGCAACGGUGGCCUGAGAUGCUGUGUGACUCACAUGACAGAAAACUACUGAGGCAGGAGACCUGGUUCUUCUCAGUGAUCCUGCAACAACCACCUCAGGAGGUUUCUCCUUUCUCAGGUCUCAGCUUUGAAGACCUCAGAACCCUGACAUUCACAGGCCAUCAGGACCACGGUGGCUUUGUAUGCACACAGAUGUCCCUACUAUCUGCUGCCAUGUCCCUUAGGGCUCAGGAAAGCCUUGGCAAAGGCUCCUCCACCAGCUAGAUCCACAAGUAAAGGCAAAGCAGCGGUGACCACAGAGCAGGUCCUUCACAACCCAGCCUGCCUGGAGGCUGGAGUCCACUAACUCCUUGUCAGCUAAAGAAAGUUACACUUACAGAAAACAAUUCGCUUUGAAAAAAGACUCUCAUCUUUAUUCCUAAGGGAAAGGGGGAACUGCUUUCUAUUGUCAUUAAGGAAAAAAAAACUGUCUCUCUCUAGUCAUUAAGAAAAAAAACCGGGCUGGAGAGAUGGCUCAGUG